rnacentral:lncRNA from 1 species
CUGGCUCCUGCUCUGUUCAUGAAAAGAAUGUAAUGGAAAGAAUAUGUGUAAAGGAUAAUGCUGCUGAGCUGAACCUCGUGCCAGUAUUUGUGUGACUGUGUGAUACUGUGGGACUUCAGUCUCACUGCUGCAUUUCAGACCAGGGCACAGUUAGCUAAGCAGAGUGACCUGAUUCAUGCUGGAUCAACAUGUUAUCAACUUGAGGUUGUCACUACAAACCUGGCACCUUCCUCUCCAUCCCUUACUCUCUGUUGUUCCCUGGCCCAGGCACUGGAAAGAGCUCUUUGCCUGGCUUGCUCCAGUAUUCGGGCUUUUUCCUCAUCAAGCGUCAUGCCGUAUCGGACAUGAAGCGCUAACGCACCAUACUGCAUUUCAACAUCGGCAAACCUGCGAGUCCUGCCGUUCACCACGGUAGUGGACUGGGACACGGUGACAUUGAUGCCGUUCUCCAGGGCCUUCCGCCCACUGGUCAGCCGCAGUGUCCCAAGGUCACUCUCAGGGGAGGUGGUCUUGAUAAAAUAGUGCGUGUCUUUUCCCUCAACGGUGAAAUGCAAGUUUUCUAGGUAGUAGGCGUUGUUCAGAACAGCUGCCACUUUGAUGCAGUCCUCAUUUGCAAUGUUAAGCACGUUUGUCUGCACUUUCCCUUGAUUGACAGCGAGCAUCACCCCUUUCCCGAUCAGAGACUUCACGGUGGCAAACCACAGCCAUGACUUCUCUCCGCUGGAUUUCCGUCUGCUGACCUGCACUUCUGCCAUCUUUCCCAGGGAAAGGAAAGCCUUUGCUUGUCUCGCCACUUGUUGUUGCACUCCAGAAAUUGGCUGUAAACAAGAACAGACAGAAGUUUUACCAACCAUCUGUAGCCCUCUAGAUGCCAAGUGGGCAGGCUUUCUUGGUGCACUGCCCAUGGACGACAACAGGAUAUGCUGCCACUGACAGUGCCAAGGAGCUAAUUAAAUCUACAUACUGCUUGUUCUACUGAGCUACAAGACUAUUUGGUUUGAUAAUGUUCUGUGUCUUUUUCUCCUUGUCUCCCUGCGUACCCGCACGUGCACAAAAAUGCUGUUUAUGUCAGAGGCUACUCGGAGGGGCU